CAAGCCCUGGAAACGGGGUCUAAUACCGGAUAUGACAUCCUCCCGCAUGGGAAGGGUGUGGAAAGCUCCGGCGGUGCAGGAUGAGCCCGCGGCCUAUCAGCUUGUCGGUGGGGUGAUGGCCUACCAAGGCGACGACGGGUAGCCGGCCUGAGAGGGCGACCGGCCACACUGGGACUGAGACACGGCCCAGACUCCUACGGGAGGCAGCAGUGGGGAAUAUUGCACAAUGGGCGAAAGCCUGAUGCAGCGACGCCGCGUGAGGGAUGACGGCCUUCGGGUUGUAAACCUCUUUCAGCAGGGAAGAAGCGAAAGUGACGGUACCUGCAGAAGAAGCACCGGCUAACUACGUGCCAGCAGCCGCGGUAAUACGUAGGGUGCGAGCGUUGUCCGGAAUUAUUGGGCGUAAAGAGCUCGUAGGCGGCCUGUCACGUCGGAUGUGAAAGCCCGGGGCUUAACCCCGGGUCUGCAUUCGAUACGGGCAGGCUAGAGUUCGGUAGGGGAGAUCGGAAUUCCUGGUG
rnacentral:rRNA from 1 species